UCCCAGCAGGUGGAGGACAAACUGUGGCGGGCGCUGGCUUGGACUUGCUUUGAGCUGGGACCCCCCGAGGCCUGCGAGCCCAGUCCUGGCUGCAGGGAGGAGCCCCGGGCCGUGCUGGUCCCCGCCCGGCACCUGCAGCGUUUGAGGAGGAAGCCGCGGGGUCCCCUCCGUGGAGCCCGAGGGAAGGUUGUGGAGAAGCAGCUGAAGAAGAGAGAGCGGGAGAGGCGGCGGCGGGGGUCUCGGGGGGCCCUGGCGCUCUACGACCGCUGCCGAGAGAUGGUCUCCGCCUGGCGCUGGGCGCCCCGGUGAUGGAGGAGGCGGCGGCCGGGCCGGGCCGGGUGUGCGGGUCCCGCUCCUGAGUCCCACCGGCACCGGACGCCCCGGGCCCUCGGGGCCAGCCCGGGCCUCGGCCUGCCGGCAGCGUCUGCCUCCCGCUCGCCGCCCCGGAACCCAGGGCCCCGCUCCCCUGCAGGCCAGCCCGUGACUGCCGGGGCAGAAGGCCGCGGUCACUGCCGCGCUGGGGGGGUGGGAGCGAGCCCUGGGCGGCGGCGGAGGCCCGAGCUCAGUCCCGGCCCCUCAGACUCCGCGCCCCGUCGGGGCGAGUCCCCCCGCUGGGAGCAGCGGGAGGGAGGGAGCCGACAGUCUGGGUCCCAGGCCCUGCCCGAUACCGGCCUGUUUCUCCAUCUCCAAAAUGUGGGGGCUGGGCCAGGGGGGCCCGGGCUCCUCCUCUCUUGUGAGAACCCCAUAAUCUGAGCCCAGGCAGGCGGCAGCCCCCCCUCCAAAAGUCGCCUCAACGUCCAUGCUCGGCCUCGAUGCCCGGCCCAUCCUGCGGCCUGGCUCCUUCCGCUUAGCCCGGGGGCCUUGCUCUGCCCUCGGGACCAGCUUAUUUACAGCCCGGGGAAGGGGGCAGAUAACCGCGGCCGUCCUGUUGGAUGUUGGACGAUGUUGGAAUAUCGCACAGUGGAGAGCUGGCCACGGCCCGGGCGGGCACCGCCGUCCCACCCAGGAUGCAACGAGAAAGGUCACUUGUCACCCAGCUCUGAGCCCCCGGGGUGAGCGGCUUCCGGCCUCCCUGUGCCCACAGCCGCGGCAGCAUCGCCCUGUCCCCGCAUCCUUGGUCCAGGAGGCGCUGCCCUGAGUCCAACUGAGGCUGUGGCUACCGGGGACAGGAGGGCAUCUCCUUCCCCAGGGCGAAGCCGCGGAGGACAUCUGGGGCCUGUCUCCGGGCCAAAAGCAAGGCCAGAGGGAGGACCCGGGGCUGCUGGUUUCUACAGGCAGACAUGGGAGCUGGUCUUGGCUCGGAGCUGGACCCCCCUCCCCCCCAUGUAGAUGCGUUCAUAGAUAGGGGACAUUGAUCCGUCCCAGCUGUGGGACCUUAGGUUCCCAUUCUGAGCCUCAGUUACCUCAUCUAAAAAUGGAGCUAGACCUGAUCAAAUAGAAGUUCUUCCUAGCCCAGACUUCCCCUGUUCUAAGCUCCUCCCAGCUCUGAUAUUCCUUGUUCCAAGUUUUCUUCUGACUCUUGACAUUCCCUGAUAUUCUCUGUUCUAAGACAUCCCCUGUUCUAAGGCUCCUCCCAGUUCUGACAUCCAUGGUGCUCCCCAUUUCUCUCCCUUUCCUCCCUCCUCCCCAAGGCAGCCAGCAAUCUGAUGCAGGUUAGACAUGGGCCAGUCUUCUAAGCGUGUUUCCUAUUUGUCGCGCUGCACAAGAAAAAUCAGAUCGAAACGGGAAAAUGAGAAAGGAAAAACCCCGAGCAGACAAGUGACAGCAAAAACCAACCAAACAAGCAAAAAUCCUGAGACGUGACAGCAAAAAACCCAAGACAAGUGACAGCAAACCCCCCCGAGACAAGUGACAGUAAAAAGGGGAAAAUCCGACGCUUGGAUCUCACUCAUUCCCAGUCUCUCCCUGGGUGCAGGUGGAUCUCCACCCCAAGUCUAAUGGAACUGCCUUGAAUCCCCUCAUUGUUGAAAAGAGCCACGUCCAUCACAGUUGAUCAUCACAUAAUCUUGUCACUAUGUACAGUGACCUCCUGGUCCUGCUCCUUUCCCUCGGCAUCAGUUCCUGUCAGUCCCUUCAGGCCUCUUUGCAAUCCUCCUGCUGAUCCUUUCUUACCGACCAAUAAUAUUCCAUAAUGUUCAUAUAUCACAAUUUCUUCAGCCACUCCCCACUGAUGGGCGUCCCCUCAGUUCCCAGUUUCUGGCCACUACAAAAAGCUGCCACAAACAUUUUCGCACAUGGGGGUCCCCCUCCCUCCUUUAAGUUCUCUCUGGGAUGUAAGCCCAGGAGAGACCCUGCUGGAUCUAAGGGGAUGCACAGUGCGCCUUUGGGUGUGGCUCCAAAUUGGUCUCCAGAACUGACAUCCCCUUUCUAAGACUCCUUCCUAACUCUGAUAUUCCUUGUUCUAAAGCCCCUCCCAGCCCUGACACUCCCCCUGUUCUGUACCUCCAGCUGUGUCUGUUCUGUGACCCUUCUGUACUUGGGAAGGCUUCCCCCUCUCCCUCCCCCUGCUGUCCAUGACCAAUAGUGCAUCCUCCUCCCUCUUGCUCCACAGAAGGCUCUGAGAAGGGGGGAAGGGCAGCCCCCAGCCUCAGUGGUUGUGGACAGACCUUCCCUCGUCCCCAGCCACAGUCCCCGAAGAAGAGUGGGGGCUCCCAGAGGAGCAGAGUGGGGGCUUCCAGAGCUGCCAGGGAAGAGAAUCCAAGACAUAGCUCCCCUUCUGUUCUUGCCUUUGGGCCCUGGGCCCCCUGCUUCCUGAAGAGUGGUACAAUGGACAGCGCCCAUGGCCCAGUCCUGGAUGGCUGACUUGGGAGCAGCCUUUCUUUCUCUGACCUUCAGUUCUCUUCUCUGUGGAGGGAGGGGGUGGGCCUUGGUCUCCAGCCCCUCCCAGCCCUGAGCACUGUUCACCCAGCCUCGUUCGGAGGUCUCUGGUGACGGGGAGCUCACCACCCCCACACCCGCCCAUUCCAUUGUGAGCUGGCUCUAAUUGCCGGGAAGUCUUGGGUCUUUGGGGCUGCCUUGUAAUUUCUGGCAGCUCUAACCUCGGGACAAGCAGAAGGGGGCCCAGCCUCCCUCCCGUGACAGCCUCCAGAGGAAGGAGUAAUUGUCUUUGAGAAACCUUGGACUUCCUUGGAGAAUUAGUCACCAUUCCGUGCCCCUGUGGGGAAGCUUCUGCCAGGCUCCCGUGUUGCCGGGCUUGGUCCCAGCCUCCCCUGCUCGGGCUAAGGGGGUGAUCUGUGCCCAGACUCUCCCCACAGAAGGGAAGGUGCGGUUUAGCAGGAAUGCCCAGGUUCGGUCUUGGUAUCCUCCCCUGCCUGGAACCCCAUCCUCCCCCAUCUUUCCUAACUUCUCGAUGACACUUCCAGACUGCGGCCCCAAAACAUAGGUCAUGAGGAGUUUGCCCGGGUCCGAGUUUCUCGGGGCAUCUUGCGGGACUGCCGGACAGACCCACGUUCCCAGGGGCCUGCUUUGGUACCAGGUCAAGUGCCAGGAUGACCCCUCUCUGGGACCGGGUUCCAUGAAUUUAUUCAGAUUGAUUUCAUUCCCAUGUCACAAGGCAACAGGCAAGCGCCUUUGUUGUUGUUUCAUCCAGUGGGGAAGCCCCGAUUUCUCAAUCACUAGUCACUGCCCCAUUGCUUCUUUCACCUCCCACCUCUGGGCCUUUGCCCUGGCUGUGCCUCCCGCCUCACUCUCUGCCCAAGAACCACCUUCAGCACGAGCCCUUUGCUGCUCCUUCAAGAGGCUUCCACCAAAUCACCCAAAUUCAUCUUGUCUUAGAUGCGAACGUGUUGUUCCUCCCUUCAAACGGGAGCUUGGAGAGUUUCAUGUUUUACUUCAGCUCCAGUGUCUGGCACACGGCAGGUGCUGAUCAGUGCUUGCUGAUCGACCCCCUAGUUAUCACCCUUCCCCCUCACACUCCUCUGCAUUUACUCCUCUGUGCCCAUGGAGGUGUUGUCCCAGGGAAUGGGACAAUAUGUACCCCUGGAGCAACCGUUCUUCAUUUUUAUGGUGAAUUAAUGCCCUUUAUUUCAACCUGGCCUCUGACCCAGACUACCGGGGCCAUCCCACAAGUUACCCAACAUCUCAGCCCCAGACGAGAGCCAGGGCUUCCCAGUGGGCAUCUAGCCCCAGCACAGGCACCUCACGGGGAUACAGGAAGAACAGAUUAUUAGAAGCGUCCAAACCCUGGGGGAAAUCAUCUGAGAAGGACCCUGAAGUCCUUGGAAGCCCUCUGCAGUUAAUUGAACCCUAAGGCCCAGCACAACAAUGUUCUUUCCAUGGGUCUGGAGUCAGGAACGACCGAAGUUUGAGUCCAAUCUCUCUCUCACUAGCCGUGUGAUUCUGGGUAAGUCAUUUCUUAACCUGCCUGCCUUAGUUUCCUCAUCUGUAAAAUGGGGCUAAUCUCUACCUCAUAGGGUUGUUGCAGGGAUCAAAUGAGAUAUUUGUAAAGCCCCGAGCACACGUUGCUGGUGUUUAAUAAAUGCUCAUUUCCUUUC
ensembl:lncRNA